rnacentral:lncRNA from 13 species
AAAGUACUUAGGUUCUAGGGGAAGCGAUUAAAAACUCACUGAAAAAAUGCUUUCUAGAAUUAGCGCAAAGAGAAUUAGUGUUGAGAUAAACUAAUUGUUUAACAGCUGUGAGAAAAUUACUAUUUGUUAAGGCACCCACAAAUAUGGGUGUAUUUAAACAUUUUAAAAAUAUUUCAGCCACGCAUGGUGGCUCACACCUAUAAUCCCAACACUUUGGGAGGCCAAGGUGGGUGGAUCAGCUGAGGCCAGGAGUUCAAGACCAGGCUGGUCAACAUGGCUAAACCUCAUCUGUGCUAAAAAUACAAAACAAUUAGCCAUGUGUGGUGGCACACACCUGUAAUCCCAGCUACUCAGAGGCUGAGGUGUGAGAAUCCCUUGAACCUGGGAGGUAGAGGCUGCAGUGAGCCGAGAUCACGUGACUGCACUCCAACCUGGGUGACAGAGAAAGUCUCCAUCUCAAAAAUAAAUAAAUAAAUAAAUAAAAUAUUUCAAAUAUUUUUAAAUAAAGAUUUUCUUUUAUCAGCUAGCUUAGAACUCAAAGGAAAUGUUAAAUAUUGGCUUACAUAUUUAUUAUUCAUAUACUCAUUUGUUCAUUCACUUAGCAAAAUGUAUUGAACAUCUGUCAUGACAGGCAUGGAAGAUGUAAUACUGAACCCACGGAGAUAAGGUCUCUGCUCUCCUGAAGCUUUGUUGUGGGGAGUCAGACAAUAGGCGUCUCUUCUGAGCAAUCAGCGUAUAAAGAGAACGGCUUGUUAGAGAGCUUUACCUGGAUAUCUCAAGGGCAUCUCAAAUUCCAAAUGCCCCAAACUAGCCACGUUUUCCAACCGAAGCAUGUUUCCUUCUGUAUUCCCUAACAGUACCUGACAUCAUCAUGCUCCAGUUACACAAAGUAGAAACCUGGAUGCCAACACGGACACAUCUCUUUCCUCCUACAUCUAGUCAUUCAUUGACGAUGGGCACCUGAAAG